CUCUAAAGAAACUCCAAAAAGACGGUUAGGGUUCGAGAAAACUAGAAACUUGAUUUCGUAGUAUAGAAGAAUCUUUAAAGCUCAGGAGGGAUAGCGCCGUGAGGAUCUAUAUAUUUUACAUCAUUAGUGGCGCUAUCUAUCCUGAGUUUCAUGGGUUGUUCUUGCUUUUCUCUGGUUGUACUGCAGAUACAAUUACAAAUUGAGGAGGAAUCUUUACAAGUUGGGUAUGUUUAAUUUGUUCAUCAAAAUACUCCUUUUUUUUUUUUUUCUUUCUUUAUGGAAAUAUCAAAGGACUUCUUGAGUUAAACUUUUGACAUGUUUUGCAAUAAUUAUAGAUAAAUUAAUAACCCUGUUGAUUUCUAUAGCUCAGACAAAAUCAUGACCUUUUUCACGAAACAAGAACAAGCUACAUCAUCCUGAUCAGACACAAAUUAUGGCCCUCUUCACUUUUUAUCUAAAUUUCUUCUAAGAUCACAAAAUUCGAGGAAAAAUAUAAAUAUAGAAAGGGUUUUGUAUGACAACCAGGCUACUGAUCUGUGAUCUGUGAUAUAAUUAACCAUGGUAACGAUGCACACGAAGAGGGAGAGAGAUACACACUCAUUUUGGUAUGCCUUUUCAAUGAACAAGGUUGUUUAACCACUGCCCCGUCCUUCCAUCAAGAAGUCGAUGACCAUUCAUAGGUAUUACCUUGACACCAGAGAAGAGUUCGACUCACUGCUUUGUUUCUGUCCCAGUUGAUCCUGAUUCAAUAUUAAAAGCAGGGGUGGACCUACUUGAGGCCAGCAGGAGCGGCCGCCCACACUCAAUUUUCAGAUUUUCAUUUUUCUCUAAGUUUUUUUAGGUUUUUAGAUUUUUUUCCUAAGGUUUUUUGAUUUCGUCCCUGAGGUUUUUUGGCUUCGCCCCCAUUGAACUUACUUCCUGGUUUCGCCCUUGAUUAAAAGUAUAGUGAUAUUCCCCAAUAACCGAAUAAGUAAAUACUGCAUGAACUUAACUCUCCCUGUGUGUGUAAUGGGGAGAUGGUUUGGUUAAGAUCAUGGGAUUUCUGCUGCUGAUGAAAAGGGCAUGAAGGAAUUUGAUCUAAAGAUGAAAUUUAUGAUCCUUCUUUUACUAGCUUACUUCUCAAUUAUGUGGGACACUAAAUUUAAUUAUAAUAUGGCCAAUCUUAUAAACCAGAUUAUUUUCCUGCAGGAUCCUUGAUUUCACAGCUUAACCAAGGCCUGUCCAAGAUCAUAUUAUUCGUAUUUAUUAAAAACUAUAAAAUAAAUACGACUGAGACAAAAAUACUUAGACGAAUAGAAGAAUUUGAAUAACUUUUCUCUAUCUUGUGUAAACAAACACAAGUUUAUCUCGAAAUCAAGACCGUGAUAUGAUUAUUCUUCUUCUUGUAUGUACCUCUCUAGCUGAUAUCUUUGUUCAUGAAUUGUGGUUCAUAUUUUCAAAAUCUCAGAACUGCAAUUGAAUUUAUUUUUCACUUUUUCUUUACACAGAAUUAAUUCUGAGAUCUGGGGAAUAUGCAGUAUGAAAAUUAAGUUUGUGGGUAGAGUGGAUAGCCAUUAAUGCAGUCUGAGACUGAAGCAUUCUCCAGAAAAAUGCCUUUAAGAUAUCAGUUAUGGGCUCUAGGGUUUUUAUGCUUCUGACAUAAAAUUUAGUUGCAGCUUUUUAAUAAUGGGCAUGAAUAACUGUGGAUGUUGACUCCUUUUCCAACUUCUAUUAGGUCACAUCUGGUUACCUUUCUUUGACUAUAUUCAUUACUUCAUCAAUCUUUUCCAACUAAUUGUUUUUAAUUCUCUUAAUGUCGUAUUAAUUAACUUAAUCUUACAUUAUUCCCUUCAUGCAGAUAUAUUUUAAUCUGAGAACCCUACGCAGGAAGAAGUUGAUGGCAAAAAUUGACUAAUUAGAAAGUCUCAAAAGAUAUUUUAAUAACACAUGCUUAUCCAUCUCAGCACAGAUAUUGGAACAAGGGACCAAUGGUUUUGAAAUACCAUUCCACGUGUAGGGCUAUGAUUUGAGGCAGCAUACAUUUUUAUAUUAGCAGAUUGCAAAUCUUGAGAAAUUUGACGUCACUUUAGGGUACAUGAGAUGUCUUGCUAUAUGGAGACAAAGAAACCAGGUUAUCUUCAAUCUUCUGAUACUGUUGUUAAUGUAAUGAAGAUCCCUCUAAUCUUUAGAUAGUGCACAAUAUGCUCGUACAGAAGCACCCACCAAAAAACUCUUAGUUGGGACACUUUAAAUCUCAGUUUUUUUAGAAAUAAAUUAUUUCUCUUGUAAAUGUUCAUAUACUUGUAUAUAGAGUUCUACGUAUGCAUUCAAUGCCCCCCGCCUGAUCGAGUGCCA
rnacentral:lncRNA from 1 species